ensembl:lncRNA
AGCAGGUGACUGAGGAGAUAAUUUUCACUGCUUGGACUCAAGUCAGUUUUGAAGGAACUAAAGAUGCCCAUUGAAUUCUGGCCCUGCCCAGAGCCCCAGAGUCCAGACAGCCCGGGAGAGGAGCAGGAGUUGGAGCCCGAGUUGGAGCCCAAGUUGGAGAGAGAGGAGAAGCCUGCUGCAGCCAGGUCAAGAAACAGAUCAUUGCCAGUACCCCAGAAGUCUGUUCCUGAUCACCUCUGCCUUCUGCCCCACCAGAGGAGGUGAGGACAACAGGAGGUCUUUGGUGUGCCCUCAGAAGUCCGCCUUCAAUUCUCACCCAGCCACUCUGAGAAUGGAGUGGAGACGGGAGCUGUUUCUCAACUUCACCGUUGUCCUGAUUACAGUUCUCCUUAUGUGGCUCCUUGUGAGGUCCUAUCAGUAGUGAGAGGCCAUGCCACGCUCCUGGGAUUGACUGCAACACUCCAGAGCUGCCUGCUGUAUGCCCUGAGACCUCACCGCUGUCAUGGGAUGCCUUUCCUGGCACCCCAAGACACUUCUGACCUGCACUCACAAUAUCUGAGGUGCCUCCAGUGCUAGGAUCGAUUGUGUGUUCUCUAAGGAUGCUGCUCUCAAGGGCUCCCAAGCGUUUGCCUGCGAGCAUUAGAUUUAUUCCCCCAACUCUUACUGCAAACAUGUUAGACAAGCCACAAGGUUAAAAUUAAACUGGAUUCCCGGUGAUGUAGAAUUGUAACAAGCCUCUGAUCUGUCUUACCACACGUCCCUUCAACCCACACUGUCUGCAACCAAACUCUAAAUCAACCUGCCAGAAGAAAGAAAUGUUAGACCAAGUCUUUGUCAGCUCCUAUAGCUACUGUGUGAAUAAAGUUAAGUCAACCACAAAAACGACUUUGAGAAUUUAUUUUAGCUUCUGUUUGUGAUACUGCAUUUGACCCUUGGCUGGGAUUGAAGUGACAAAUGCUACAGUAUUUCUAGCAUUAGAGAUAAGCCAAAAUACUCCAACUGCUAAGGAUUUGAAACCAAGUCAAUUACGAGUGUCACAUUUCAAAUGAUUCCAUUGGUUCAGUGCUCCUCAAACUUUCCCUCUGAACUAAUCUCAAGGGCAGAGGGAGAAUGAAUGCAUUCCGCUAGGAGGUCCAGGGCACAGCCUGAAGUUUCCACUAAAAGCACACAAUUUCUUUGAAGUUUUGUGUUUUAUCUUUAAAAUUCACAAGAAAUGUGUAUUUUACCCUAUGAUAUCUCCAUGUUUGUUUUAAUAUAAAUAUUUACAAUUGUUUACCAUUGAGUAAAGCUAGAGAAGAGUCAUGUCCCUAAGAGUAGCAUUUUUCAGUUUGGUUAUUAUCAUUAUGCAAAUCGAGCUAGUCAUUAAUAAACUAGUUAUAACAAAGAGGAAAAUAAAAAGUACAAAUUUACAUAUAUGUUUAUAAAAGAGACUAUGAAAUAGAUAUUUCUAAAACACGUAGCUAGAACACCCCAUACCAGAUAGAUCAAAUUUGUUCUUUGUGCCAAUUCUAAGGUAAUCGCAGAGAAGGGAAACGUCGUUAAACCUCA